GACCGAGGUCGCCGAGCGGGUGUGCCAGCCGACCGGUGCGCGCCCGGUCGCGUCGCGGAUCGCCGCGACCGCCCGGGCGAUCGUGUCCCGCUCCUCGGUCUC
rnacentral:tRNA from 1 species